UCUUCUAAUUCUAUGGUUAGCUUCAAUUCAGUAUAUAACAGAAAAGGCAAGAAAAACAUUUUAACUGUGAUUACGUGAUGUGAACCAUAUCUUUGUUAGAUUGAUUUCAAUCAACUAGAUAAUAUGACAGUUUUUGUCAAUUUUAACAUGUUAGCAGUCUUCAGGUGAUAUGGACUUCGUGACUUUCAUGUGAAAUGAAGUGCUCCUUGCUAUCAUGCAAAACAACAGAGCUCUUCUCGCUUGACAGACCUGAUUUUGCACGGUUCUUAGGCCUGCUGCUUCUCUUAGGCUCCUGCCACGUCAGCUCUGGACCCCACUCAUGUCUCUA
rnacentral:lncRNA from 1 species